rnacentral:rRNA from 1 species
AAAUCUUAAUGUAAAUUUAGAUAUUAAUCUCCAGAGGUACAGCUCUGGAGAAUAAGACUACAACCUUAAUUAGAGAGUAAAUAUAUAAAACAACCAUAGUUGGCCUAAAAGCAGCCAUCAAUUAAGAAAGCGUUCAAGCUCAACAAGAUAAUUAAAAACUAAUUCCAAACAUUAUAUAAACUCCUAACACAAACACUGGAUUAUUCCACAUAAAGUGGAAGAAAUACUGUUAAUAUGAGUAACAAGAUUUAUAAUCUCCAAACACAAGUGUAUAUCAGCCCAAAUACUUACUGAUAGUUAACAACCAAAUAAAACUACUUAUGCAAUUAAUAAUUUUCCAUUAUACUGUUAACCCAACACUGGCGUGUACAUCAAGGAAAGAUUAAAAAAAGUAAAAGGAACUCGGCAAACACAAACCCCGCCUGUUUACCAAAAACAUCACCUCUAGCAUAAUAAGUAUUAGAGGCACUGCCUGCCCAGUGACAUUAGUUAAACGGCCGCGGUAUCCUGACCGUGCAAAGGUAGCAUAAUCAUUUGUUCCUUAAUUAGGGACUUGUAUGAAUGGCCACACGAGGGUUUAACUGUCUCUUACUUUUAAUCAGUGAAAUUGACCUCCCCGUGAAGAGGCGGGGAUAAAAAAAUAAGACGAGAAGACCCUAUGGAGCUUAAAUUAAAUUAUCCAAUAAUAUAAAAAUGACCCCGACAGGAACAAAACUACAUUAUAUGGAUAAUAAAUUUUGGUUGGGGUGACCUCGGAGCAUAACAUAACCUCCGAGUAAUUUAACCAAGACCCACUUGUCAAAGUGCUAAAACUUAUUGAUCCAAUCAAUAUUGAUCAACGGAACAAGUUACCCUAGGGAUAACAGCGCAAUCCUAUUUGAGAGUCCAUAUCGACAAUAGGGUUUACGACCUCGAUGUUGGAUCAGGACACCCAAAUGGUGCAGCAGCUAUUAAAGGUUCGUUU